UAAAGUAAAACAUUACCACAUUUACAAUAAAAAAAAAUACACUUUCACAGCUCUCGCUGCUGAAGGCCUUGAUUGACAGGCUGCUGCAGGAUGGAAUGGAGGAGCUUCUUCAUGAGAUCAGCACCAUCAGAGACGUGAAAGGAGACAGACAGGAGCCAGACUCAAACAUCAUCACUGAAUACACCAGCUCAGUAAAGUACAGUCACCCACAAGAGUCAUUACCUGAUACGGGUUUGACUGAGGAAGAGUCUGAUCUUGAAGAGGGGCAGAUGCCUGAAUCAAGUCCUAAGCCUGUAGUAGAAAAAAAAGUGGGUCGUACCCUUUCGAACAUCUCUACUAUUCACAAAAAGGCUGACUUGAGUAAAACCAAAGACAAGCUGGUAGAUGUCAAAGAAAAACUUGUGGAGACCAACUUCGGUGAUGUAACACCUUUGAAAUUUCUCCAAACCAACACUUCCUCUGAGAGGGUAUGCUUGCCAGUGAUAUUUUUUUUGUAUUGUAUUUAAGCUCACUGAAGUA
ensembl:lncRNA